rnacentral:rRNA from 1 species
GGUAACUUAUGAAUAAGGAUCGGCUAACUACGUGCCAGCAGCCGCGGUCAUACGUAGGAUCCGAGCGUUAUCCGGAGUGACUGGGCGUAAAGAGUUGCGUAGGCGGUUUGUUAAGCGAAUAGUGAAACCUGGUGGCUCAACCAUACAGACUAUUAUUCGAACUGGCAAACUCGAGAGUGGUAGAGGUCACUGGAAUUUCUUGUGUAGGAGUGAAAUCCGUAGAUAUAAGAAGGAACACCGAUGGCGUAGGCAGGUGACUAGACCAUUUCUGACGCUAAGGCACGAAAGCGUGGGGAGCGAACCGGAUUAGAUACCCGGGUAGUCCACGCCGUAAACGAUGGAUACUAGCUGUUGGAGGUAUCGACCCCUUCAGUAGCGAAGCUAACGCGUUAAGUAUCCCGCCUGUGGAGUACGGCCGCAAGGCUAAAACAUAAAGGAAUUGACGGGGACCCGCACAAGCGGUGGAUCGUGUUCUUUAAUUCGAUGAUAAACGAAGAACCUUACCAGGGCUUGACAUCCAGGGAAGGUCUGCGAAAGCGGAUUGUGCCUUUUGGAACCCUGUGACAGGUGAUGCAUGGCCGUCGUCAGCUCGUGUCGUGAGAUGUUUGGUUAAGUCCAUCAACGAGCGCAACCCUUGCAACUAGUUGGAUUUUUCUAGUUGGACUGCCCCGGUAACGGGGAGGAAGGAGGGGAUGAUGUCAGGUCAGUAUUGCCCUUACGUCCUGGGCUAGAAACACGAUACAAUGGCUAGUACAAUGCGCAGCGAAGCCGCGAGGUGGAGCAAAUCGCAUCAAAGCUAGUCCCAGUUCGGAUUGGAGGCUGAAACUCGCCUCCAUGAAGUCGGAAUCGCUAGUAAUCGCAGAUCAGCAAGCUGCGGUGAAUACGUUCCCGGGUCUUGUACACACCGCCCGUCAAACCAUGAAAGUGACCAACACCCGAAGUCCGAUUCGUCGGCCUAAGGUGGGGGGCAUGAUUGGGGUUAAGUCGUAACAAGGUAUCCGUACCGGAAGGUGCGGAUG